rnacentral:rRNA from 1 species
GGGGAGCUGACAACCGAGCUGUGAUCCAGGGAUGUCCGAAAGUGGGGAAACCCGGCGUGGAGUCAUGUCCAGUCACCUCCGCCUGAAUAUAGUAGGGCGGUUGGAGGGAACGUGGGGAAGUGAAACAUCUCAGUACCCACAGGAAGAGAAAACAACAGUGAUUCCGGGAGUAGUGGCGAGCGAAACCGGAAGAGGCCAAACCGAUACUGCGUGAUAGGCGCCAGCCGUUGCAGUACCGGGGUUGAGGGACCUCUUGGACCGUUCUGGCGAGCGGUCAGACAGUAAGAAAUCGAUGUGGUAGGCGAAGGCCAUGCGAAAGGGCCGGCAUAGAGGGUAACGCCCCCGUAGCCGAAACUGCAUCGACUGUCGAGAGGGAUCCCAAGUAGCUCGGGGCCCGAGAAAUCCCGAGUGAAUCUGGCAGGACCACCUGCUAAGCCUAAAUACUCUCUGGUGACCGAUAGCGGACAAGUACCGUGAGGGAAAGGUGAAAAGUACCCCGGGAGGGGAGUGAAAUAGU